rnacentral:rRNA from 1 species
UUCUUCUAGGUGGGGGGCGUGCUUACACAUGCAGUCGAACGAUGAAAGGGAGCUUGCUCCCUGGAUUAGUGGCGAACGGGUGAGUAACACGUGAGUAACCUGCCCUUGACUCUGGGAUAAGCACUGGAAACGGUGUCUAAUACCGGAUACGAACUUCAGCCGCAUGGCUAGGAGUUGGAAAGAAUUUCGGUCAAGGAUGGACUCGCGGCCUAUCAGCUAGUUGGUGAGGUAAUGGCCCACCAAGGCGACGACGGGUAGCCGGCCUGAGAGGGUGACCGGCCACACUGGGACUGAGACACGGCCCAGACUCCUACGGGAGGCAGCAGUGGGGAAUAUUGCACAAUGGGCGCAAGCCUGAUGCAGCAACGCCGCGUGAGGGACGACGGCCUUCGGGUUGUAAACCUCUUUUAGUAGGGAAGAAGCGAAGUGUUUUACAUGGAGUGACGGUACCUGCAGAAAAAGCACCGGCUAACUACGUGCCAGCAGCCGCGGUAAUACGUAGGGUGCAAGCGUUAUCCGGAAUUAUUGGGCGUAAAGAGCUCGUAGGCGGUUUGUCGCGUCUGCUGUGAAAACUGGGGGCUCAACCCCCAGCCUGCAGUGGGUACGGGCAGACUAGAGUGCGGUAGGGGAGAUUGGAAUUCCUGGUGUAGCGGUGGAAUGCGCAGAUAUCAGGAGGAACACCAAUGGCGAAGGCAGAUCUCUGGGCCGUAACUGACGCUGACGUGCGAAAGCAUGGGGAGCGAACAGGAUUAGAUACCCCUGGUAGUCCAUGCCGUAAACGUUUGGGAACUAGAUGUAGGGUCCAUUCCACGGAUUCUGUGUCGCAGCUAACGCAUUAAGUUCCCCCGCCUGCGAGUACGGCCGCAAGGCUAAACUCAAAGGACUUGAUGGGGGCCCGCACAAGCGGAGGAGCAUGCGGAUUAAUUCCAUGCAACGCGUAGAACUCACCAAGGUUUGCCUAUACCGGAAACCUCUGGAAACAGUCGUCCCCGGAGGUUGUUAUACGGUGC